rnacentral:rRNA from 1 species
UGGGGAAUAUUGCACAAUGGGCGGAAGUCUGAUGCAGCGACGCCGCGUGGGGGAUGAAGGCCUUCGGGUUGUAAACUCCUUUCGACAGGGACGAAGCUUUUGUGACGGUACCUGUAUAAGAAGCACCGGCUAACUACGUGCCAGCAGCCGCGGUAAUACGUAGGGUGCGAGCGUUGUCCGGAAUUACUGGGCGUAAAGAGCUCGUAGGUGGUUUGUCGCGUCGUCUGUGAAAUUCCGGGGCUUAACUCCGGGCGUGCAGGCGAUACGGGCUGACUUGAGUGCUGUAGGGGAGACUGGAAUUCCUGGUGUAGCGGUGAAAUGCGCAGAUAUCAGGAGGAACACCGAUGGCGAAGGCAGGUCUCUGGGCAGUAACUGACGCUGAGGAGCGAAAGCAUGGGUAGCGAACAGGAUUAGAUACCCUGGUAGUCCAUGCCGUAAACGGUGGGCGCUAGGUGUAGGGGGCUUCCACGUCUUCUGUGCCGUAGCUAACGCAUUAAGCGCCCCGCCUGGGGAGUACGGCCGCAAGGCUA